GACGAACGCUGGCGGCGUGCUUAACACAUGCAAGUCGAACGGAAAGGCCCUGCUUUUGUGGGGUGCUCGAGUGGCGAACGGGUGAGUAACACGUGAGUAACCUGCCCUUGACUUUGGGAUAACUUCAGGAAACUGGGGCUAAUACCGGAUAGGAGCUCCUGCUGCAUGGUGGGGGUUGGAAAGUUUCGGCGGUUGGGGAUGGACUCGCGGCUUAUCAGCUUGUUGGUGGGGUAGUGGCUUACCAAGGCUUUGACGGGUAGCCGGCCUGAGAGGGUGACCGGCCGCAUUGGGGCUGUGAUACGGCCCGGACUCUUGCGGGAGGCAGCCGGGGGGAAGAUUGCACAAUGGGCGGAAGCCUAUUGCGGCGACGCCGCGUGCGGGAUGACGGCCUUCGGGUUGUAGACCGCUUUCGCGUGUGACGAAGCGUGAGUGACGGUAAUGGGUAAAGAAGCACCGGCUAACUGCGU
rnacentral:rRNA from 1 species